rnacentral:rRNA from 1 species
CAGCAGCCGCGGGAAUACGUAGGGUGCGAGCGUUAAUCGGAAUUACUGGGCGUAAAGCGUGCGCAGGCGGUUAUACAAGACAGAUGUGAAAUCCCCGGGCUCAACCUGGGACCUGCAUUUGUGACUGUAUAGCUAGAGUACGGUAGAGGGGGAUGGAAUUCCGCGUGUAGCAGUGAAAUGCGUAGAUAUGCGGAGGAACACCGAUGGCGAAGGCAAUCCCCUGGACCUGUACUGACGCUCAUGCACGAAAGCGUGGGGAGCAAACAGGAUUAGAUACCCGUGUAGUCCCUGUCUCUUAUAC